CAACAACCCUAAGAGCGUUCUUUUUAACAUGGACAGCAUAUAUGGUAGGUAAAACAAGACUAUUAACGGAUUCUUAAAUUUAUACAACUGUAUAUCAAAAAAUAUUCAAACUGUUUUCUCUUCUAAACAAAAGCCUGAUUUUUAGGAACUUGGCACACUGGGACACCCCACGCGGCACUUACACAAGGAUCACAAAGCUAUAUAGGGCAAACAACACCUCUAACUAAGGAGUGCAGGAUGACGUCGGCAUCAACCAUGACGAACAGCCAGAACAUCGCCCAAGCCACACAAGCUCUAGAGCGAGACAUGCAUGCGUGGGACCUCUCAGACUCGGCUCAAGACAUUCCGAUUCAUCCCUGCCAUUCGCCUGUUUGUACGCUUGUAC